UGGCUUUUUGAGUUUUGAAUU
rnacentral:piRNA from 1 species